rnacentral:hammerhead_ribozyme from 1 species
AUCCAUAUGACGAGUCCCAAACAGGACGAAAGGAGCGUCCCGAAU